GUAAAAUGUACAUACAAUGAACCCUUAAAGUCCAUUGACACUUCUUUCAUAUGCAAAUCUCACAAUUAAAAACCAGUGGGUAUGUAAAGCAGGAUUUGCUAAGAAGAUGUAGCUGAAAAGGUGCUGUUCUGACCCUUUGUUCAUUACAACCGCAAGCUGUAGUAUUAUGUUGUUGCUAACGUGUCCUCCCUGUUUCUAUUACCGGUAGAUGUGAUGGUUUAGUUUAUUGGCAAUGUGGCUAACGUUAUUUCAUGUCCCUGACUGUGUUUCAUUCAAAUAAAUAACACGUGUUUGUUUACAGCCCAACCAAUGUUACAUACCCUAUUCGGAGACCGUAAGGAACCGUGUGAAAUACCCCCAAAAAGUCAAUGACCCCUUUUAAAAACAGAAGUGAAGUUAAUGUUUUCUGACUUCUUAGGUUCCUAGUUCUGGAAACAGAACUCAAGAAAAAUAUAUGCUGUGCCUGAAAGUGACUUUGUGGAGUUUCAGAAUGGGAGAAGAGCUAAAACAAGUCGAAGGGAUGGAGAUUCAAGCCUGCAGGAGGUCCUUGGACGUGUUGACCAGCUGAAGCAAGCCGCCGGGAGUCUCCAAGAGGUCACUAAUUCAAUCAACCAGCUGUCUCAGCUGGCCAAGUCUCAAAAGGAGGAGAUCAUGGCAAAUGUCGGUUUGCAGCCCUUAAAGGAAGCCUUUGCAUGUCUUGUGUGUAAAGCUGUAAUGGCAGAUCCCAUGUUCGCCACAUGCUGUGAAUCGAUAAUUGGAUGUCGUACCUGUGUGGAGCUGUGGUUAGUCACAUCAGACCACUGCUUGAAAUGCAGGGCAGGAGACUUUGAAAAUAAAAUAC
rnacentral:lncRNA from 1 species